rnacentral:tRNA from 1 species
UGUGGUUUGGAGUAAAGGUUAACUCAGAAGUCUCAUAAGCUUCAGAUACAAGUUCGAGUCUUGUAGCCGCAA